UACGUAGGGUGCGAGCGUUGCCCGGAUUUACUGGGCGUAAAGAGCGCGCAGGCGGUCGUUCAAGUCGCGUGUGAAAGCCCCCGGCUCAACUGGGGAGGGUCACGCGAUACUGAUCGACUCGAAGGCAGGAGAGGGUAGUGGAAUUCCCGGUGUAGUGGUGAAAUGCGUAGAUAUCGGGAGGAACACCAGUGGCGAAGGCGACUACCUGGCCUGUUCUUGACGCUGAGGCGCGAAAGCUAGGGGAGCAAACGGGG
rnacentral:rRNA from 1 species